rnacentral:rRNA from 1 species
AAGAGACAGCAGUAGCCGCGGGAAUACAGAGGUUGCGAGCGUUAAUCGGAUUUACUGGGCGUAAAGCGUGCGUAGGCGGCUUCUUAAGUCGGAUGUGAAAUCCCUGAGCUUAACUUAGGAAUUGCAUUCGAUACUGGGAAGCUAGAGUAUGGGAGAGGAUGGUAGAAUUCCAGGUGUAGCGGUGAAAUGCGUAGAGAUCUGGAGGAAUACCGAUGGCGAAGGCAGCCAUCUGGCCUAAUACUGACGCUGAGGUACGAAAGCAUGGGGAGCAAACAGGAUUAGAUACCCCAGUAGUCCCUGUCUCUUAUAC